GCUCCUUUCAUUUCUCUUCUUUGCUUCUGAUUCAAUAGCACGGAGACUCGCGCAAAGGGUUAACAGUUGAUAGGCAAGUCAAGCGGUAAAGCAGUAAAUCCACUAAGAAAGGCACUAAUAGCUAUUCACUCACCAACAACAGCGGCAAGGCAAGAGUGGAAGGAGAAAAGAAAGAAGGAUCAAGUCGAGUGUUGUUCGGUGUGAGGCCGAGGUAGCUGUUCUAGUUCUGGACAGGAAAGUCAAGUAUGGGCUUAGGGCUUUUGAAUUUGAAAUGGACUUGCAACCGGGGGAGAACAGAACUCUGGGUCCCGAAUUCCCCCGCCGACUGAGAGAUUCGAUUUCCAAAUCCAAGCUGGAACGUAGUCGCUAUAGCGAAGCUAUUGGCUUUCGCUUUGCUAAAUCGGAUC
rnacentral:lncRNA from 1 species